CCUACGGGAGGCAGCAGUGAGGAAUAUUGGUCAAUGGGCGCGAGCCUGAACCAGCCAAGUCGCGUGAAGGAUGAAUGCCCUACGGGUUGUAAACUUCUUUUGUGAAGGAAUAAAGUGAGGCACGUGUGCCUUUUUGUAUGUACUUUAUGAAUAAGGAUCGGCUAACUCCGUGCCAGCAGCCGCGGUAAUACGGAGGAUCCGAGCGUUAUCCGGAUUUAUUGGGUUUAAAGGGAGCGUAGAUGGGUUGUUAAGUCAGUUGUGAAAGUUUGGGGCUCAACCGUAAGAUUGCAAUUGAUACUGGCAGCCUUGAGUACAGGUGAGGUAGGCGGAAUUCGUGGGGUAGCGGUGAAAUGCUUAGAUAUCACGAAGAACUCCGAUUGCGAAGGCAGCUUACUAAACUGCCACUGACAUUGAUGCUCGAAAGUGUGGGUAUCAAACAGGAUUAGAUACCCUAGUAGUC
rnacentral:rRNA from 1 species